UAAAUUUACCUAAGUCUAUUUUUAUUAUUUAAAUAAGUUUGAUUCUGGCUUGAGUUUUAGCUAUAUAAUUAAAUUAUAUGCUUAUUUUUAAAUUUUUGUUUUGCAGUAAAAAGAAUUUUCCUAUAUUUUUAUUUUUAUUAAGUAAUUUAGUUUAGUGUUGAUUAAUUUUGUGCCAGCAUUCGCGGUUAUACAUUUAACUCUAGUUAAUAUCUUAGGUAUAAAUGUUAUUUUAUUUUAGAUUUAUUUUAGGUUUAUUUAGGUGGAAUUUAUAAUUUUUUUAUUUCUUUUUAAAUUUAUUUGAUACCUGUUUAAUAGACUAGGAUUAGAUACCCUAUUAUUUAUGGUUUAAAUAUUUUAUUCUGAAUAAAAGUAGUUAAGUUCUUCAUAACUCAAAGAAUUUGGCGGUUAAUUUUAUUUUUCAGAGGAACCUGUUCCGUAAUUGAUAAACCACGAUAGUUUAUACCUUUAUUUUAUUUGUAUAUCUCUAUGGGUUUAGGAGUGUUUUUUUAGGAUAUUCUCUUUUUGAUUGUUUCUUUUAUUUUAGGUCAAGGUGCAGUUUUAUAAAGGUAGGUGUGGGUUACUUUAGUAUUAAUUUUACAUUUUGGUUUAACUUUUUCAUAGGAUUUGAGAGUAAUUUAAUUUAAUUAUUUUUUUUGAAUAUUUAUAUUAAUGUACAUAUUGCCCGUCACUCCUAUAUUAGGAUAAGUCGUAACAAAGUAGUUUUAUCGGAAGGUGAAGCUAGAAAGUC
rnacentral:ncRNA from 1 species